GACGAACGCUGGCGGCGUGCUUAACACAUGCAAGUCGAACGGAAAGGCCCUGCUUUUGUGGGGUGCUCGAGUGGCGAACGGGUGAGUAACACGUGAGUAACCUGCCCUCGACUUUGGGAUAACUUCAGGAAACUGGGGCUAAUACCGGAUAGGAGCUCCUGCUGCAUGGUGGGGGUUGGAAAGUUUCGGCGGUUGGGGAUGGACUCGCGGCUUAUCAGCUUGUUGGUGGGGUAGUGGCUUACCAAGGCUUUGACGGGUAGCCGGCCUGAGAGGGUGACCGGCCACAUUGGGACUGAGAUACGGCCCAGACUCCUACGGGAGGCAGCAGUGGGGAAUAUUGCACAAUGGGCGGAUGCCUGAUGCAGCAACGCCGCGUGCGGGAUGACGGCCUUCGGGUUGUAAACCGCUUUCGCCUGUGACGAAGCGUGAGUGACGGUAAUGGGUAAAGAAGCACCGGCUAACUACGUG
rnacentral:rRNA from 1 species